UCUUCCUUUCAUCUAACGUAUUUAUUGAGCACCUACUGUGUGCCAGGCCUUGUGCUAGACUCUGGUGAUAUGGAAAUGAGCAAAGUAGAUGUACCCCCAAAACUUGUGGACUAAUGGAGGAGACGGACCUUAAUCAGAUCAUCAUUCAAAGAUACUAUCACAAACUGUUCUGAGAGCUGAGGAAGCAGGAAGGAGCUGUGAGAGACUGAGCUCUAACCUUGGCCAUCAAAGACAAGCUGUGCAGUUCUGGUUUUUUGAGGGCAGGACUUGGAGGGUCAGGCCCAGCUGGAGGUGCACCAAAGCCCAGAGAAAAUUCAGAACCACAUGAGCUUGUUGGAUUUCAGCCCCCUGAAGCACAUGUUGCUAUUGCAGCUGCCUUGGUAACUGGGGGGACAGGCGGAGCAGGGCCUUCCCACCUUGUACGGGGCCUCGCCAAUCCAGUUGCCCCUGAAAGAGAAAAGGUCCCAGGGAGACAGAGGAGGGUUAGGCUACUAAUGACUUCAAGAACAUCAGAAUAAUACAAUAUAAAGAAUUUGGAAUUUAGAAUCAAAAGACUGAUUCUUCUGAACCAGCUCUACUACUUGUUGGCUUUGUGACAUUUGGUAAAUUACUCAACCUUGCUGAACCUCAAUUUCUUAAUUUGUAAAGAGAAACAAUGUUCUCCUAGUGUUCCCCCCUUUUUCCUUCUUUCUUUCAUCUCUUCAAUGAGAUAAUGGGAAAGUAGUUUGUAAAUGAUUAAAGGCUAUGUGACAGUAAAA
rnacentral:antisense_RNA from 1 species